rnacentral:rRNA from 1 species
AAGAUGGGAUUAUUGUGGAUUGGUGUUCAAGAAGGAUGAAAAAUCCUUCUUAGCAGUGAGCAAACCAGGAAGAGCCCAACAUGAAAAUCGGGCGGCAGUGUCGCCUAAAUUGUAUUCUAUAGAAGCAUCCUCAGUGGCGGACCUGGACCAAGUCCCUUGGAAGGGGGCACCUGAGAGGGUGAUAGCCUCAUUGGGAUAAGACCUUGCCACAUCACGAGGUGUUGUCGGCGAGUUGGGUUGUUUAGGAAUGCAAUCAUAAUUGGGUGGUAAAUUCCAUCCAAGGAUAAAUAUGGGUGAGAGACCGAUAGUGAACAUGUACUGCGAGGGAAAGAUGAAAAUGACUUUGAAAAGGGAGUUAAAGAAUGCUUAAAAUUUCCGAUAACAAAGCGGAUGGAGAAAGUCGAUGCGUCUUAGUCAAAUGUGGAAUGGCUCAAGAUGGUCCACCGCUCGACUUGAGGUGCAAGCCAAAAUGGGCUCCUGCAUUGUCCCAAGCGCGGGUCGAUUAAUACCUAUUGUUUUUCCAUUGCAGUGGUCGAGGAAUGAAGUGUGCACCCUUGUGGCAGAACGUGUGCACCUGCGUGCUCAUCAAAUUGGUUGGUAGGCUUUCCAUUCGACCCGUCUUGAAACACGGACCAAGGAGUCUAACAUGUGUGUGAUUCAGUGUGUUUGAGAAAUUGUGAGGUGCAAGGAAGUUGACGGGUGAGAUCCCCUCUCUGGGGGGCACAUCCCCAACCGACCUUGAGCUUAUGCAAAUGGUUCAAGUGUGACCACACCUGUUGGGACCUGAAAGAUGGUGAACUAUGCUAAGAAAGGUGAAGCUAGAGGAAAAUUUGGUGGAGGCUUGCACCGAUACUGACGUGCAAAUCGUUCGUCUGAUUUGCAUAUAGGGGUGAAAGACUAAUUGAAUCAUCUAGUAGCUAGUUUCCUCUGAAGUUUCCCUCAGGAUAGCUAGAGCUCACGCCCAAGUUUUAUUGGGUAAAGAGAAUGAUUAGAGGCAUCAGGUGUGUAACACCCUCGAUCUAUUCUCAAAAUUUAAAUAGGUAAGAGGGUGUGGUUGCUCCAUUGAGUUAUGCCAUGGAAUUGAGAGCUCCAAGCAGGCCAUUUUUGGUAAGAAGAACUGGCGAUGAGGGAUGAAGAGAAAGUCGAGUUACGGUGCUGAGUUAUGAACUAACCUAGAUCCCACAAAUGGUGGUUGUCGAUUAAGAUAGUAGAAUGGUGGUCAUGGAAGUAGAAAUCCAUUGAGUGUGCAACAACUCACUUGUUGAAUCAACUAGCCAUGAAAAUGGAUGGCGUUGAAGCGCGUAACCUAUACUUGAUUAUCAGAGAAAUUUCCUAGCUUCGAUGAGUAAGAGGAUGUGGGGGUCAUGGAGAAACCUCGGGCAUGAGCUUGGGUGGGUUGGCCCUCGGUGUAGAUCUUGGUGGUAGUAGAAAACUUUCAAAUGAAAACUUUGAAGACUGAAGUAGGGAAAGGUUCCAUGUGAACAGCACUCAGACAUGUGUUAGAUGAUCCUAAGAGAUGGGGAAGCCUUGUAUGAGGGGUGCACUCUACAUGAUCAUCAAAAGGGAAUCAGGUUAAUAUUCCUGAACUAGGACAUGGUGGCAGGUGACAACGUUAGGAAAUCAGAGACGUCAUCGGGGGCUCUGGGAAGAGUUAUCGUUUCUUUUUAAUAUAUUUCCCACCCUAGAAUCGGUUCACCCAGUGAUAGGGUCUAGCAGUUGGAAGGGCACGACACGUCAUGCAAUGUCCAAUGUACCCUUAGGGACCCUUGAAAAUCUAGAAGACCGAGUACCAUUCAUGCCUGGUCAUACACAUAACUGCAUCAGGUCUCCAAGGUGAACAACCUCUAGUCAAUAGAACAAUGGAGGUAAGGGAAGUCAGCAAAAUGGAUUCGUAACUUUGGGAAAAGGAUUUUCUAUGAGGGCUCGGCCUAGGGGUUAGCACUGUCAACUCAUGCACUAUCAGAAGUCUACCCAAGCUACUCUCGCAGCAAGGGUGGGAAGUCACGUGCCAAUUGGGCUAUGGGCGUAGAAUACCCCCUACUGGGGGCCUUUCCCUACGUGGCAAACAGCUGAAUCAGAACUGGUAUGGACAAGGGGAAUAUGAAUAUUUAAUGAAAACAAAGGAUUGCAAUAGUCCCUGCGGAUGCUGACACAAUGUGAUUUUGCCCAGUUCUCUGAAUGUCAAAGUGAAGAAAUUCAACCAAGCGCGGGUAAACGAUGGGAGUAACUAUGACUCUCAUUAAAUAGCCAAAUGCCUCAUCAUCUAAUUAGUGAUGCACAUGAAUGGAUUAAAGAUAUUCCCACUAUCCCUAUCUACUAUCUAGCGAAAACACAGCCAAGGGAACGAGCUUCGCAGAAUCAAUGGGGAAAGAAGACCCUGUUGAGCUUGACUCUAGUCUGACUUUGUGAAAUGACUUGAGAGGUGUAGAAUAAGUGGGAGCCAUUUUCAGCACAAGUGAAAUACCACUACUUUUGAUUGUUAUUUUACUUAUUCCAUGGGGUGGAGAUAGAGCACUACCCAUGUUUUUGGCCUUAAGGCACAUUUUGACAGGUCGAUCCGAGCAAAAGACAUUGUCAGGUGGACAGUUUGGCUAGGGCUACACUUUUGUUAAAAGAUAAUGCAGGUUCCCUAAGAUGAGCUCAAUAAGAACAAAAAUCUCGUGUGGAACAGAAGUGUAAAAGCUCAUUUGAUUUUUAUUUUUAGUACGAAUACAAACUAUGAAAGAGUGGCCUAUCGAUCCUUUAUAUUUUCAGAAUUUGAAGCUAGAGGUGUCAGAAAAGUGACCAUGGGGAUAACUAGCUUGUGGCAACCAAGCGCUCAUAGCAACAUUGCUUUUUGAUCCUUCGAUGUAGGGUCUUCCUAUCAUUGUGAAGUAGAAUUCACCAAGUGUGGAAUUAUUGACCCACCAAUAGGGCAUGUGAGUUGGGAUUAUACUGUCAUGAGAUAGGUUAGUUUUAACCUACUAAUGAACCACACUGCAAUAGUAAUUCAACUUAGUACAAGAGGAACCAUUGAUUUACACAAUUGUUCAUCGCGCUUGGUAUGUAGGGUGCAUGGGGUGCAGAGCUACCUGAUCCCUCCUCUUGUUUGGAUAUGUUCUUGUAUUGUGUAGAGAACCUCUUGAUUUGCAUUUACUUUCUUCCUUUGCCUUUGU